ACGGUUAACUUUAUGCUCAAAAUCACACAUUGUAAACUAACUCCAACACCAAUUUUCAAAAUACAAUAGUUCUCUAACACAAUACACUAUGUCUACCAAAACACUGCUAACAUGUCUCAAAAUCCCAUAAUUCUACCAAAACAC